rnacentral:rRNA from 1 species
CCCUGGAUGCCUUAGUACGGCGAGUGAAGCGGCAAAAGCUCAAAUUUGAAAUCUGGUACCUUCGGUGCCCGAGUUGUAAUUUGGAGAGGGCAACUUUGGGGCCGUUCCUUGUCUAUGUUCCUUGGAACAGGACGUCAUAGAGGGUGAGAAUCCCGUGUGGCGAGGAGUGCGGUUCUUUGUAAAGUGCCUUCGAAGAGUCGAGUUGUUUGGGAAUGCAGCUCUAAGUGGGUGGUAAAUUCCAUCUAAAGCUAAAUAUUGGCGAGAGACCGAUAGCGAACAAGUACAGUGAUGGAAAGAUGAAAAGAACUUUGAAAAGAGAGUGAAAAAGUACGUGAAAUUGUUGAAAGGGAAGGGCAUUUGAUCAGACAUGGUGUUUUGUGCCCUCUGCUCCUUGUGGGUAGGGGAAUCUCGCAUUUCACUGGGCCAGCAUCAGUUUUGGUGGCAGGAUAAAUCCAUAGGAAUGUAGCUUGCCUCGGUAAGUAUUAUAGCCUGUGGGAAUACUGCCAGCUGGGACUGAGGACUGCGACGUAAGUCAAGGAUGCUGGCAUAAUGGUUAUAUGCCGCCCGUCUUGAACCCCCCGACCAC